GAUGAACGCUAGCGGCAGGCCUAAUACAUGCAAGUCGAGGGGUAAUUCUGCUUUCGGGCAGAAACGACCGGCGCACGGGUGCGUAACGCGUAUGCAACCUACCCACAACUGGGGGAUAGCCCGGAGAAAUCCGGAUUAAUACCCCAUAAUGCAUUGAUACCGCAUGGUAUUAAUUGCUAAAGAUUUAUCGGUUGUGGAUGGGCAUGCGUCUGAUUAGUUAGUUGGUGAGGUAACGGCUCACCAAGGCAACGAUCAGUAGGGGGUCUGAGAGGAUGAUCCCCCACACUGGUACUGAGAUACGGACCAGACUCCUACGGGAGGCAGCAGUGGGGAAUAUUGCGCAAUGGGCGAAAGCCUGACGCAGCCAUGCCGCGUGUGUGAAGAAGGCCCUAGGGUUGUAAAGCACUUUCAAUUGGGAAGAAAGGUUGCGUGUUAAUAUGCACGUAGCUG
rnacentral:rRNA from 1 species